rnacentral:rRNA from 1 species
CAGUCGCCACGGUAAUACGGAGGGUGCAAGCGUUAAUCGGAAUUACUGGGCGUAAAGCGCACGCAGGCGGUUUGUUAAGUCAGAUGUGAAAUCCCCGAGCUUAACUUGGGAACUGCAUUCGAAACUGGCAAACUAGAGUCUUGUAGAGGGGGGUAGAAUUCCAGGUGUAGCGGUGAAAUGCGUAGAUAUGCGGAGGAACACCGAUGGCGAAGGCAAUCCCCUGGACCUGUACUGACGCUCAUGCACGAAAGCGUGGGGAGCAAACAGGAUUAGAUACCCGGGUAGUCCCUGUCUCUUAUAC